rnacentral:rRNA from 1 species
AACGAACGCUGGCGGCAUGCCUAACACAUGCAAGUCGAACGAGACCUUCGGGUCUAGUGGCGCACGGGUGCGUAACGCGUGGGAACCUGCCCUUAGGUUCGGAAUAACUCCCCGAAAGGUGUGCUAAUACCGGAUAAUGUCUUCGGACCAAAGAUUUAUCGCCUUUGGAUGGGCCCGCGUUGGAUUAGCUAGUUGGUAGGGUAAAAGCCUACCAAGGCGACGAUCCAUAGCUGGUCUGAGAGGAUGAUCAGCCACGCUGGGACUGAGACACGGCCCAGACUCCUACGGGAGGCAGCAGUGGGGAAUAUUGGACAAUGGGCGAAAGCCUGAUCCAGCAAUGCCGCGUGAGUGAUGAAGGCCUUAGGGUUGUAAAGCUCUUUUACCCGGGAUGAUAAUGACAGUACCGGGAGAAUAAGCUCCGGCUAACUCCGUG